rnacentral:lncRNA from 1 species
GGGGGACGUCGGAUCUGAGGUUGCUCCAAUGGUGUGGGGGCUGGUGGGAGGAGUUUGGGGGCUUCGAUAAUGGGGUAGGGGAGAAUGGGAACCGGAGGCAGCAGAUGAGGAACAGAGCGAUUGGGGAUCCAAGGGGUUUUUAUGGCACAUUAUUAACGACGGCUAGCUUUCAUCGCUAAAGUUGUCGCUAAUAGCUAUAAAUUUAUAGUGACGGCUUUACCGUUGCUAAUAAGUAUUAAAAACGUCGCUCAUAAUUCAUCGACCUUUUAACGAUA